GAUGAACGCUGGCGGCGCGCCUAAUGCUUGCCCGUCGAGCCAACAGACUACGAGCUUGCUCCUCUGACGUUCGCGCCGGACGGGUGACUGACACUGGGAUUACCUACCUAUCCUGCUGGCAUCGCUUCGGGACUCCGGAGCCUCAUACCGUAUAAUAUAUUGGACCGCCUGGUUCUAUAGUGAAUGACGGUUUUGCUGCCUCCUCUCCAUGGAUCCGCGCCGCAUUAGCUAGCUGGUAAGGUAGCCGCUUACCAUGGCGGCGACGCGUAGCCGACCUGGCACGCUGAUCGGCCCCUCUGGCACUGACACACGGCCCAGACUCCUACCGGACGCGCCCCUCCGGACUCUUCCGCCCCGGGCGAAAGCCUGACGGAUCAACGCCGCGUGAGUGAUGAAGGUCUUCGGAUCGUUCUUCUCUGUUCUUCGGGAAGAACCACAUGGUCCGUCGCUAGGCCCGUCUUGCCGGUACCUCUUCGAGUAGCCACCGUUAACUACGUGUCCCCAGCCGCAGUGCUACGUGCGUGGCCUGCGUUAUCCAGACUUAUUGGGCGCCCAGCGCGCGUAAGUCGUCUUUUACGGCUGAGGAGACAGCCCACUGCUCAUCCGUGGAGGGCCCUUGCAUACUGGACUACUUGACUGCAAAAGAGGAAAGGGGAUUUCCAUGUGUAGCGGUGAAAUGCGCAGAGAUAUGGAGGAACACCAGUGGCGAAGGCGACUUUCUGGUCUGUAACUGACGCUGAUGUGCGAAAGCGUGGGGAUCAAACAGGAUUAGAUACCCUGGUGGUCCACGCCGUAAACGAUGAGUGCUAAGUGUUAGGGGGUUUCCGCCCCUUAGUGCUGCAGCUAACGCAUUAAGCACUCCGCCUGGGGAGUACGACCGCAAGGUUGAAACUCAAAGGAAUUGACGGGGACCCGCACAAGCGGUGGAGCAUGUGGUUUAAUUCGAAGCAACGCGAAGAUCCUUACCAAAUCUUGACAUCCUCUGACCCCUCUAGAGAUAGAGUUUUCCCCUUCGGGGGACAGAGUGACAGGUGGUGCAUGGUUGUCGUCAGCUCGUGUCGUGAGAUGUUGGGUUAAGUCCCGCAACGAGCGCAACCCUUAAGUUUAGUUGCCAUCAUUAAGUUGGGCACUCUAAGUCGACUGCCGGUGACAACCCGGAGGAAGGUGGGGAUGACGUCAUCAUCAUCAUGCCCCUUAUGAUGUUGGUCUACACACGUGCUACAAUGGACAAUACAAAGGGCAGAGAAGCCGUCGAGGUCAAGCAAAUCCCAUAAAGUUGUUCUCAGUUCGGAUUGUAGUAUUCAACUCGUCUAUACGAACCCGGAAUCUCUAGUAAUCGUAGAUCAGCAUGAUACGGUGAACACGUUCCCAGGUUU
rnacentral:rRNA from 1 species